rnacentral:lncRNA from 1 species
GUUAAGACUUAAAUACAUUUGACCCAACCCUAACAAAAGUCUUUCUUUUUUUUUCUCCUUCAACGUCGCUUCUUUUUCUCUCACUUUCCUUUUUUUUUGUUCUCUCUUUUUCUCUUUAUUAUCAAUUUAAUUAUUUAACUAGAUUUUAACCAGCGGUAUACUGCGGGAUAAUUUAAUUUUAAAGUUAGUAUAAAAAUAUUUUGUAAAUUUGUAUGUCCUUAUAACAUAUUUAUUUAUAUUAUAGUUUACAAUUGUUAUUAAGUAACGGUAUACCACGAGUCCACAAGACGAUUAUUAAUAAACUGAGGAUUUAACCCGUAUUAAAGCGGUAUAUAAAUAUUGAUUCAAAUUCGUCCGUCAUAAACCCUUUCUGAAAUAUAACCCGUUCCGUAAUUUCUUAACACGUCCUGUGAUUUGUUUUUAUUUUAAAAUUUAAUGAUUAUUUAUUAUAUAUAAAAGUUUACAAAUCAUAUCAUUCUCUAAGAAAUUUAUAUUUAAAUAAACUAAAGAUUUAAUAUGUAUUAAAGCGGCAUGUUAAUGAUAUUUUAAAAUUUUAUAAUAUUGUAAUUAAGUAACAUUAU